AGUGAACGCUGGCGGUAGGCCUAACACAUGCAAGUCGAACGGCAGCACAGUAAGAGCUUGCUCUUACGGGUGGCGAGUGGCGGACGGGUGAGGAAUACAUCGGAAUCUACUUUUUCGUGGGGGAUAACGUAGGGAAACUUACGCUAAUACCGCAUACGACCUACGGGUGAAAGCAGGGGAUCUUCGGACCUUGCGCGAUUGAAUGAGCCGAUGUCGGAUUAGCUAGUUGGCGGGGUAAAGGCCCACCAAGGAGGCGAUCCGUAGCUGGUCUGAGAGGAUGAUCAGCCACACUGGAACUGAGACACGGUCCAGACUCCUACGGGAGGCAGCAGUGGGGAAUAUUGGACAAUGGGCGCAAGCCUGAUCCAGCCAUACCGCGUGGGUGAAGAAGGCCUUCGGGUUGUAAAGCCCUUUUGUUGGGAAAGAAAAGCAGCAGGUUAAUACCCCGCUGUUCUGACGGUACCCAAAGAAUAAGCACCGGCUAACUUCGUG
rnacentral:rRNA from 1 species